AGGAGUGUGGCUCAGUUGGAAGAGUGCUUACAUAGCAUGCACAGAGCCCUGGGUUCGAAUCCCAGCACUACGU
rnacentral:tRNA from 1 species